GGGUGUACAUCUUAUCGAUAAGCCGUGUCCGCGGUUAUGGACGACUUGGAAUUGUAUAGCUUGAUCAUAGAACAACUUACACCGUUAUCUUGUUGCUAAUAAUCUGAUAAUAACUUGCGUAGUAAUAUAGCCUUACUACAACCGUUACCCAAUAAAAUUUGUCCACCGUUGAGUGCCUUUUACAUUGCCUCUUCGCAAUUGUUGGAGGGGAUAUGUGUAAUCGGCUGGGUUAUGCUUGUGUAGUAUUUUAUCUGUCACCUUGUGCGCUCUCUUAUCUUAUCUGAUUAGACGGAUAUUGUAGCGUGUCUCUAUUGGUUAUAGUUUUGCUGCAGCUAAACCUACCAUAUAGCCCCUGCGAUAUAUAUAUUAUACUCGCCCGGCGAGCAUAGCCAUUUCUAGUCUCGCUAAGUACGUGCCGGAGUUCGUUCCUUGGUACUUACUCUCGCCUUUUCCCCUUUCUCUUUUGCUUCCUCCCUCUUGUCGGCAACCGAUGGCCCGACUUUGACAGGUACAAGAUGACGACGUUAGCAAGGUUACCCUUCCAGCUUGGCCCAGGCGAGGUUAUGGACGCCACUGGUUAUCUUCAGGACUCUUAGUCCAAUUUGUAUCUUGUCCGUACUCGGACGCAUUCGAUCUUUUGUAUGAUUCGGAUCUUUGUAUGUAUCUAUUUGUAUCUUGACUCGUUGGAGUCGUUGUUGUAUAUAUGUAUCUUGUGGGCUCUAUUGUAAUCCUGUUGUAAUGUUACCGCUCGUGUUAAUUCCUCUGGCAUCACGUGUGUGAUUCUUCGCGCACGUCGUGUCGGAGGGCGUCUCUGAAUCGAUAUCGUGCGGAUUUCGGCGGGAUCGCUGGAAUCCUCAGGAUACCGGUUUGGGGGCGUCACAAGUUGGUAUCAGAGCUCAGGUUGACGGUACCCCACUAGUCCAGCCUGUAGGAUAACCUUGCCAACGGACGUUGUUGUGUCUAGUGUCGAAAACCUAUUUUCUGAUAAUUCGUUGGAUAGUUCUGAUUAGUUCUGAUUUUUCUCCUUACCUAUAUUCUUUCUCCUCUUACCUUUGCGAGUUUUGAGUCUUCUCUUAUCUGCUUCUCUGAGUCUUAGGUUCCGACGUGGGUUAGACGAUCUUUGCCUUAUCCUAAUAGGUCCGAUCUUCGGAGUAUUCCGACAGAGGCACAUCAUCAACACCGGAACAACGACUUCUUGUUAGUGGUGUCGCCGAUCUACGUGGAGCAAGAACUCUUGUUAGUGGUGUCGAGAAGAUCAACACUUCGCCAUAAGAAGGUUCCACCUCAAGGUCGGGUGCUCGUCAACAUGGUACAAGAAGAUCCGAUAGUUUAACCAACUCCCCCUUAGGUUGACGUGGAACCUCGGGGCGAGGUUCCUUGUUAGUGGUGUCGUUUGUAACGACCCGGAAAAACCCAAUAUUAGAUUUUUCUCCGUUGCUUGUUUUUCCGUGUCGUUCCAAGUCAUCAUGUCAUUUGCAUCAUACCAUCCACAUGAUUUUAACAAAAUAAAAUUAUUUUAAAUAAAAACUAUUUUGUUUCCCCUCCCCUAUGGUUUUUAUAAUAAACUCUAACCCUUCUCUCCUAUUUCCUAUUUUAUAAUUAUACCUUUUCAAUAAUUAAUUUUGGUAUUAAAAUGUGCUUUGAUUUGAUUACAAAUAAAUUAACUAUUUGAAAAACUAAAUUUGAAUCUCACUCUCGUAUCUGGUUCAAAUUCAAAACUGAAUAGGAUUUCGAAUUCAAAAAGGUUUAAAUAAAAACAGGAAAAGAAAACCUAAAACCCCCAACCCUCUCUAUCUGGCCCUCUUCCUCUCUGGCCCGGCAGCCAGCAGCCGCCAGCUCCACCCCGGCGGCCUGUUUCCCUUCCUCCACCACUUCGGCCCACCUUUUCUUCUCUGGCCCGAGUCCAGCCCACCUCCACACAUCGAAGGGGUAUCCCCUUCUCGUCUGUCGUCUUCCUGGACGAGUCACGCAGAGAGCGUGCUCGCUUUCCUCCACCAGCGCCGUGGUCCUCCCCCACUCAACCACCGCGCCCGCCUCCACCUGCUCCCUCCUUUUUCCUCCCUUAAAUCCCCCACCUCGAGUUCUCCGCAGAAACCCUAACCUCCCUCUUUCCCCCUCUCACGCCGCCGCCAUCUCCCCUUCUCCUUUUUUUUCUCUAUUCUGUGAAACACCGUGAGCUCCUCGCCGGCGCCCCGCCAUUCUUGUCCACCCCGCGCCAAGCCGUUGGAUCCUGGAGAUCCGCCUCGUCGAGCUCUACGUCCGGGUGCGAGGAAUCGCUCUGGGAGCCCUCCAAUCGAGCACACUUCGCCGUUCCCUUCUCGCAAGUCCGGCGGCAAUUUCUCCAAUUCCGGCGAGAACCGUGCACCUCCGGCCACACGGACCCCGUCAUCGCGUUCCUGAACCUCGCCGACGGCGGCCCUCCGGUGACCUCUCCAUGGCGGCGCCGCCCUCCCCUGAUCCGCGCCGACGAGGCGCACCUGGAGAGCCCCCGCGCGCAUCCUGGAGGCCCCUGCACCAUCCGCGAGCGCGACGCCCCGCCGCGGUGACCGCCUUCCUGGAGAACGCGAGCGGCAUCGGCCGCACAACGAGCACCUGGUGGGCGUGCUUGGAUGCUUUGCCAGCUCAGCCGUCCACGUGGCCGCGGGGCCCUCUCGUCAGCGACUGCAGCUGACCACCCCGCGGUGAGAAAACCCCCCCAACCCCAGAUCUGUUGUUUUUCGUUUGGGCCCCUGCAUGUUUUCGCAGAUCAAACCGCAGUCCCUAGCCUGGCCGUUUUCCACAGUAACCCCUGUAUCUUUGCAAACCAACCCGGGGUCCUUCCCCCUUUACAGUAAUUAUUUCUGGGCCCUUUCCUUUUAAAUAAAAUCUGUUUAAUUA